UUCCUACGGGAGGCAGCAGUGGGGAAUUUUUCGCGAUGGGGGAAACCCUGACGAAGCAACGCCGCGUGGAGGAUGAAGGCCCUCGGGUCGUAAACUCCUGUCGAUCGGGAAGAAGGCGUCCGACCUAAUACGUCGGUGCGUUGACUGUACCGGUGGAGGAAGCCACGGCUAACUCUGUGCCAGCAGCCGCGGUAAGACAGAGGUGGCAAGCGUUGUUCGGAAUUACUGGGCGUAAAGGGCGCGCAGGCGGUUCGUCAAGUCCCGUGUGAAAUCCCCCGGCUCAACUGGGGAACUGCGCGGGAAACUAGCGGGCUUGAGUUCGGGAGAGGGAAGCGGAAUUCCGGGUGUAGCGGUGAGAUGCGCAGAUAUCCGGAGGAACACCAGUGGCGAAGGCGGCUUCCUGGACCGACACUGACGCUGAGGCGCGAAAGCUAGGGGAGCGAACGGGAUUAGAUACCCCGGUAGUCCUAGCCCUAAACGUUGAGCACUGGGUGUAGGGGGUAUGAACCCCCCCUGUGCCGAAGCUAACGCAUUAAGUGCUCCGCCUGGGGAGUACGGUCGCAAGGCUGAAACUCAAAUGAAUUGACGGAA
rnacentral:rRNA from 1 species